UACGUAGGUAGCAAGCGUUGUUCGGAUUUACUGGGCGUAAAGGGCGCGUAGGCGGCGCGGUAAGUCACUUGUGAAAUCUCUGAGCCUAACUCAGAACGGCCAAGUGAUACUGCUGUGCUAGAGUGCGGAAGAGGCAACCGGAAUUCUUGGUGUAGCGGUGAAAUGCGUAGAUAUCAAGAUGAACACCUGAGGCGAAGGCGGGUUGCUGGGCCGACACUGACGCUGAUGCGCGAAAGCCAGGGGAGCAAACGGG
rnacentral:rRNA from 1 species